rnacentral:pre_miRNA from 1 species
AUCACGUAGGAAUCUUGUUAAAUUGCAGACUUUGAGGUAAUAGAUGUGGGUGGGCCUGAGAUUCUGCACUUCUAACAAGCUCCCAAGUGAUGCUUC